rnacentral:rRNA from 1 species
UACGUAGGGGGCAAGCGUUGUCCGGAUUUAUUGGGCGUAAAGAGCGUGUAGGCGGCUUGGAAGGUCAGUUGUGAAAACUCGAGGCUCAACCUCGAGACGUCGGUUGAAACCACCUGGCUAGAGUCCGGAAGAGGAGAGUGGAAUUCCCGGUGUAGCGGUGAAAUGCGCAGAUAUCGGGAAGAACACCCGUGGCGAAGGCGGCUCUCUGGGACGGUACUGACGCUGAGACGCGAAAGCGUGGGGAGCGAACAGG